AGCAGCCGCGGUAAUUCCAGCUCCAAUAGCGUAUAUUAAAGUUGUUGCAGUUAAAAAGCUCGUAGUUGAAUUUCGAGAUCGGCUUACUGGUCGUGCUUUUGUACGUACUGGUAAAUCGGUUUCUCCUUUCUGACGAACUUUAAUGCCAUUAAUUUGGUGUUUUAGGGAAUCAGGACUGUUACUUUGAAAAAAUUAGAGUGUUUAAAGCAGGCUCACGCUUGAAUACAUUAGCAUGGAAUAACGGAAUAGGACGUUUGAUUCUAUUUUGUUGGUUUCUAGGAUCGACGUAAUGAUUAAUAGGGAUAGUUGGGGGCAUUAGUAUUCAAUUGUCAGAGGUGAAAUUCUUGGAUUUAUUGAAGACUAACUACUGCGAAAGCAUUUGCCAAGGAUGUUUUCAUUAAUCAAGAACGAAAGUUAGGGGAUCGAAGACGAUCAGAUACCGUCGUAGUCUUAACCAUAAACUAUGCCGACUAGGGAUCGGAUGAUGUUAAUUUUUUCAAUGACUCAUUCGGCGCCUUAC
rnacentral:rRNA from 1 species